rnacentral:rRNA from 1 species
GAUAAACGCUGGCGGCGUGCAUGAGACAUGCAAGUCGAACGGACGAUCAGGGCUUGCUCUGAUCGUUAGUGGCGGACGGCUGAGUAACGCGUAGGUGACCUGCCCCGAAGUGGGGAAUAACUGCCCGAAAGGGUGGCUAAUACCGCAUGUGGUGGUGUGUUCGAUCACACCAGUAAAGCCGCAAGGCGCUUCGGGAGGGGCCUGCGUCCGAUUAGCUCGUUGGUGGGGUAACGGCUCACCAAGGCGACGAUCGGUAGGUGGUCUGAGAGGACGAUCACCCAGACUGGGACUGAGACACGGCCCAGACUCCUACGGGAGGCAGCAGUCGGGAAUUUUGCGCAAUGGACGAAAGUCUGACGCAGCAACGCCGCGUGAGGGAUGACGGCCUUCGGGUUGUAAACCUCUUUUGUCAGGGACGAUGAUGACGGUACCUGACGAAUAAGUCACGGCUAACUACGUGCCAGCAGCCGCGGUAAGAC